GACGAACGCUGGCGGCGUGCCUAACACAUGCAAGUCGAGCGGAGCUAGUAGCAAUAUUAGUUUAGCGGCGGACGGGUGAGUAACGCGUGGGCAACCUGCCUUCUACAGGGGGAUAACACAGGGAAACUUGUGCUAAUACCGCAUAACAUACUUAAGGGACAUCCCUUGAGUAUCAAAGGAGCAAUCCGGUAGAAGAUGGGCCCGCGUCCGAUUAGCUAGUUGGAGGUGUAACGGACCACCAAGGCGACGAUCGGUAGCCGAACUGAGAGGUUGAUCGGCCACAUUGGGACUGAGACACGGCCCAGACUCCUACGGGAGGCAGCAGUGGGGAAUAUUGCGCAAUGGGGGAAACCCUGACGCAGCAACGCCGCGUGAAGGAUGAAGGUCCUCGGAUUGUAAACUUCUUUAGUCGGGGACGAAGAAAUGACGGUACCCGAAGAAUAAGCCACGGCUAACUACGUGCCAGCAGCCGCGGUAAUAC
rnacentral:rRNA from 1 species